rnacentral:lncRNA from 1 species
CGCCAUUACUCUGCCUUACCAUUUGCUGUUGUUCUCUGGGCUUGAGCCCAUUUAACUUUUGGUUAGGCGACCUGUCCUAAUAAAAUGAAGAUGUAUCUCCUCUGGAAGUGCCAAGAACAGCUUGCAGUCUCUGCAGGUCAUACGGAGAUGGAAAUUCCCAACAUCUAAGCACAGGUGGCAUCAUUACAAGAGUGAGUGCCUUCCCAAGAAGUACUGGAGCCAGGUGAAUGCACCGGUCCUGCCUCCCCCGCUUCCCGACUCUGUGCCCGUGAGCCUGGGGUCUCUGUCAGCGACUGGUGGCUCCUUAUUCUACCUGAGGCCAGACUUCACUCCUGGAACUGAGGCUGCAGGUUUUCUCUGGAGGAUCCCAACCCUUGUUCCUCAGCUCCAGCCCUGGGGCAUCAUCUGUGCUCAGGCAGUGGUCCCAGCUAAUGACGUGGUACACCUCGCAAGAAACGGAAGUUCCUGUGACUUCUUCAGCAUCUGAACACACACCACAAGACCAUGGCUACUACCCCAAACCUGCUUUGCCUGGAGCAUCUCAAAGCAGCCGCUGGCCCUUGCAAAGCCUUUCCUGUGUGACAGCUGCGACCAGACACGCUCCCGUGAGCCUGCCUCAGACGUACUCAUUGACUCCUCAGGAUCGUCCCAUGAGAGCUUAG